CGGGUGACACAGUGACAGAGUGAGGGAGCGGGUGACACAGUGACAGAGUUAGGGAGGGAGUGACUAGUGACAGAGAGAGGGAUGGGGUGACUAGUGACAGUCACCCCCCUCACUCUGUCACCAGUCAUCCCCUCACUCUGUCACUAGUCACCCCUUCCCUCCCUCACUUUGCCACUAGUCAUCUCUUCCCUCCCUCACUCUGCCACUAGUCACCCAUUCCCUCACUCUGUCACUAGUCACCC